UACGAAGGGGACUAGCGUUGUUCGGAGUUACUGGGCGUAAAGCGUGCGUAGGCGGUCUUGUAAGUCUGGUGUGAAAUCUCCCGGCUCAACUGGGAGGGUGCGCCGGAAACUGCAAGGCUGGAGUAUGGGAGAGGUAGGCGGAAUUCCUGGUGUAGCGGUGAAAUGCGUAGAUAUCAGGAGGAACACCUGUGGUGUAGACGGCUUACUGGACCAUGACUGACGCUGAGGCACGAAAGCUAGGGGAGCAAACAGG
rnacentral:rRNA from 1 species